rnacentral:rRNA from 1 species
UUUAUUUUUUGUUCUUAAUAGUAAUUAUCAUUAAUUAAAUUUUUGUGUGAAAAAUAAAAUAUAUUAAUAAAAUUUUAAAAAAAUUAUAUAAAGAAGAUUAAAUAAAAUAUGAAAGUACCUUAAAAUUUAUAAAUUUUGUUUAGGCUUUAUAUUAUGAUUUGGAAUUAUAUAGUAUUAAAAAAUAUAUAGUAUUAAAAAUAUAUAAAAUAGUUUUUAAUUAAAUUUAAAAUAGUGCCAGUCGUAACGGUUAUACUAGAUUUAUUUAAUAUUAUAAAAAUAAUUUAAAAAAAAUAAUUUGUAUUUAAUUAAAUAAGUAUUAAAUUAAAAAUUCUAAUUUAUGUUUAGUUUAAAAUUUAAAUUUUAGGCAUAAUAUUAUAUGUAUGAAUUUAGAGAUUUAAAUUUAAAUUUAAUUUAUAUAAGUAUUUAAUAUAGCAUAAAGAAAAAUUUUGUAUAAAUGUAUAUCUUUAAAAGUAUAUAAAAAUUAUAGUAUUAAUGUUAAUUUAAAAAAUUAAUAUUAAUAUAAAUGUAUAUAAAUAGUACAUAAUUAUAUAUAAAAAUUGGUAUUGUUGUCCAUAAGCAUUUAAUAAAAUAUAAUAUGUAAUUAUAAAUGUAAAUAAAAAUUUUUAUU